AUCCGGAAAAUCAAGGCUGAGGCGUGAUGACGAGGCACUACGGUGCUGAAGCAACAAAUGCCCUGCUUCCAGGAAAAGCCUCUAAGCAUCAGGUAACAUCAAAUCGUACCCCAAACCGACACAGGUGGUCAGGUAGAGAAUACCAAGGCGCUUGAGAGAACUCGGGUGAAGGAACUAGGCAAAAUGGUGCCGUAACUUCGGGAGAAGG
rnacentral:rRNA from 1 species